rnacentral:rRNA from 1 species
GCCUAAUACAUGCAAGUUGACGACAGAUGAUACGUAGCUUGCUACAAUUAUCUGUAGUCGAACGGGUGAGUAACGCGUAGGUAACCUAGCUUAUAGCGGGGGAUAACUAUUGGAAACGAUAGCUAAUACCGCAUAAAAGUGGUUGACCCAUGUUAACCAUUUAAAAGGAGCAACAGCUCCACUAUGAGAUGGACCUGCGUUGUAUUAGCUAGUUGGUAGGGUAAAGGCCUACCAAGGCGACGAUAUCAAAUAGCCUUAAGAGGUUGAACGGCCACACUGGGACUGAGACACGGCCCAGACUCCUACGGGAGGCAGCAGUAGGGAAUCUUCGGCAAUGGGGGGAACCCUGACCGAGCAACGCCGCGUGAGUGAAGAAGGUUUUCGGAUCGUAAAGCUCUGUUGUUAGAGAAGAACAGUGAUGGGAGUGGAAAGUCCAUCAUGUGACGGUAACUAACCAGAAAGGGACGGCUAACUACGUGCCAGCAGCCGCGGUAAUACGUAGGUCCCGAGCGUUGUCCGGAUUUAUUGGGCGUAAAGCGAGCGCAGGCGGUUUGAUAAGUCUGAAGUUAAAGGCAGUCGCUUAACCAUUGUAUGCUUUGGAAACUGGAGAACUUGAGUGCAGAAGGGGAGAGUGGAAUUCCAUGUGUAGCGGUGAAAUGCGUAGAUAUAUGGAGGAACACCGGUGGCGAAAGCGGCUCUCUGGUCUGUAACUGACGCUGAGGCUCGAAAGCGUGGGGAGCAAACAGGAUUAGAGACCCUGGUAGUCCACGCCGUAAACGCUGAGUGCUAGGUGUUAGGCCCUUUCCGGGGCUUAGUGCCGGAGCUAACGCAUUAAGCACUCCGCCUGGGGAGUACGACCGCAAGGUUGAAACUCAAAGGAAUUGACGGGGGCCCGCACAAGCGGUGGAGCAUGUCGUUUAAUUCGAAGCAACGCGAAGAACCUUACCAGGUCUUGACAUCCCGAUGCUAUUCUUAGAGAUAAGAAGUUACUCCGGUACAUUGGAGACAGGUGGUGCAUGGUUGUCGUCAGCUCGUGUCGUGAGAUGUUGGGUUAAGUCCCGCAACGAGCGCAACCCCUAUUGUUAGUUGCCAUCAUUAAGUUGGGCACUCUAGCGAGACUGCCGGUAAUAAACCGGAGGAAGGUGGGGAUGACGUCAAAUCAUCAUGCCCCUUAUGACCUGGGCUACACACGUGCUACAAUGGUUGGUACAACGAGUCGCAAGCCGGUGACGGCAAGCUAAUCUCUGAAAGCCAAUCUCAGUUCGGAUUGUAGGCUGCAACUCGCCUACAUGAAGUCGGAAUCGCUAGUAAUCGCGGAUCAGCACGCCGCGG